rnacentral:rRNA from 1 species
AUUGAACGCUGGCGGCAGGCCUAACACAUGCAAGUCGAGCGAGCGGCGGACGGGUGAGUAAUAUAUGGGGACUGCCCGAUAGAGGGGGAUAACUCCUGGAAACGGUAGCCAAUACCGCAUACUAUCGAGUAACCCAUAUGGGAUUAGCUAGUAGGUGGGGUAAUGGCUCACCUGGGCGACGAUCCCUAGCUGGUCUGAGAGGAUGAUCAGCGCGACUGGGACUGUGACGCGGCCCAGACUCCUAAGGAGGCAGAAGUGGGGAAUUUUGGACAAUGGGGGAAACCCGGAUCAAGCCAUCCCGCGUAUAUGAUGAAGGCCUUCGGGGUGUAAAGGACGUUUGGCAGAGAAGCGGUAUCUGCAGAAUAAGCGCCGGCUAACUACGUGCCAGCAGCCGCGGUAAUAC